UCUUCGGCAAUGGACGAAAGUCUGACCGAGCAACGCCGCGCGAGUGAAGAAGGUUUUCGGAUCGUAAAACUCCGUUGUUAGAGAAGAACAAGGACGGUAGUAGCUGAACGUCCCCUGACGGUAUCUAACCAGAAAGCCACGGCUAACUACGUGCCAGCAGCCGCGGCAAUACGUAGGUGGCAAGCGUUGUCCGGAUUUAUUGGGCGUAAAGCGAGCGCAGGCGGUUUCUUAAGUCUGAUGUGAAAGCCCCCGGCUCAACCGGGGAGGGUCAUUGGAAACUGGGAGACUUGAGUGCAGAAGAGGAGAGUGGAAUUCCAUGUGUAGCGGUGAAAUGCGUAGAUAUAUGGAGGAACACCAGUGGCGAAGGCGGCUCUCUGGUCUGUAACUGACGCUGAGGCUCGAAGGCGUGGGGAGCAAACAG
rnacentral:rRNA from 1 species